UGGGGAAUUUUGCGCAAUGGGGGCAACCCUGACGCAGCAACGCCGUGUGAGUGAGGACGCCUUUCGGGGUGUAAAGCUCUGUCAGCAGGGACGAACGUGUCGCGCAGAAGAUGCGAGGGCAUUGACGGUACCUGGUGAGGAAGCCCCGGCUAACUCCGUGCCAGCAGCCGCGGUAAGACGGAGGGGGCAAGCGUUGUUCGGAAUUACUGGGCGUAAAGCGCGCGUAGGCGGCGAGACAAGUGCCGAGUGAAAGCCCUCGGCUUAACCGAGGAAGGGCUUGGCAGACUGUUUGGCUAGAGUUUCGGAGGGGGAGGCGGAAUUCCUGGUGGAGCGGUGAAAUGCGUAGAGAUCAGGAAGAACGUCAGUGGCGAAGGCGGCCUCCUGGACGAGAACUGACGCUGAGGUGCGAGAGCGUGGGGAGCGAACG
rnacentral:rRNA from 1 species